rnacentral:rRNA from 1 species
GAUGAACGCUGGCGGUGUGCCUAAUACAUGCAAGUCGAACGAAGUCUUCGGACUUAGUGGCGAACGGGUGAGUAACACGUUGGUACCUACCCUCUAGUGGGGAAGUAACUGCCCGAAAGGGUGGCUAAUACCGCAUAAUACCGCAAGGUUAAAGCAGUAAUGCGCUAGAGGAGGGGCCUGCGUCUGAUUAGCUAGUUGGUGAGGUAAUAGCUCACCAAGGCUACGAUCAGUAGCNGGAUCGAGAGGUUGACCAGCCACACUGGGACUGAGAUACGGCCCAGACUCCUACGGGAGGCAGCAGUAAGGAAUCUUCCACAAUGGACGAAAGUACUGAUGGAGCAACACCGCGUGCAGGAUGACGGUCUUC